UGGGGAAUAUUGGACAAUGGGCGAAAGCCUGAUCCAGCCAUGCCGCGUGUGUGAAGAAGGCCUUUUGGUUGUAAAGCACUUUAAGCGAGGAGGAGGCUACUGAGAUUAAUACUCUUGGAUAGUGGACGUUAAUCGCAGAAUAAGCACCGGCUAACUCUGUGCCAGCAGCCGCGGUAAUACAGAGGGUGCGAGCGUUAAUCGGAUUUACUGGGCGUAAAGCGUGCGUAGGCGGCUUUUUAAGUCGGAUGUGAAAUCCCUGAGCUUAACUUAGGAAUUGCAUUCGAUACUGGGAAGCUAGAGUAUGGGAGAGGAUGGUAGAAUUCCAGGUGUAGCGGUGAAAUGCGUAGAGAUCUGGAGGAAUACCGAUGGCGAAGGCAGCCAUCUGGCCUAAUACUGACGCUGAGGUACGAAAGCAUGGGGAGCAAACAGG
rnacentral:rRNA from 1 species